AUUUCUUCGGAAUUUUCCGAGGGAAUUCCGAGGAAAACUCUAUCGUCGUCGGAAUUUCCUCGGAAAAUUCCGAGGAAAAGGAAUGUAUAAUCAAAUCCCUAAAUCGACAAGAUCUAUUCCGAGGAAAUUCCGAGGAAAACCUUUCUGCCCUCGGAAUUUCCUCGGAAUUUUUAAAAUCCCCCCAACGGCUCUCUAACAUCUAUAAUAUUUCCUCGGAAUUUAUCGGUUUUUUCCUAGGAAUACUAUUUUCCUCGGUAUUCCGUCGGAAUAUUCCGACGAACUGAAUUUUCCUCGGUAUUCCGUCGGAAUAUUCCGACGAACUGAAUGAGGAAGCCAAAUUUUGUGUUUCCUCGGAAUUGCCUCGGAAAUUCCUCGGUAUAUUCCGAGGAAUUCAUUUUCCGUCGGAACGUCCGUCAGAAUACCGCUGUUUUCUUGUAGUGCUAUAGCAGCUCAAGGGAUGUCAAAGGGUGAAAGGACGUGGCUCUUCAUGAAUGUUCAUGCAUUAUAUCAUGUUUGGCCGUCGACAGUUUCUUUGACAUUCCAAAUUAAACUUCAACGAUUCUCUAUAUAUAUUUUAUUGAGUUUGAGUUGAAUUAGGUUCAUGUCCAUCCACUCUUCGUAGUGUUACCGACGUUUCUUCGGACAAUUAUAAAACCAAUGUAUAAGAAUAUUCCUUUCUUAGUAAUUAUGUCUACUGGCGACAUAAUAUCUUCAUUGUGAAUGAUAACAGAAACUGAAAUUUUAAAAGUCUCUUGUCUUUGUAUAAUAUACUUUGUUUUCUUCCAAAACAUCUGUAUAUAUAAUUGCUCCAAGAGGAAAAUUGAAUGAAUGGCGGCUCGUCCGACCAAAUCUAAACCACAAAUAAUUAUUCUACCUACUUAAGCUCCAUGAUAUGUAUUCGUAUUGGUUUCAAUAAUUAGCUAAAUUGUAAUAGUCAUACAUAUAUAUGUAGUAAGAAAAUAUUUCAACCAUGUUAUGUACAUAAAAUGAGACUUUACGUUUUACCUUUUUAACUCUAUGUAAAUUACUUAUGAAUAUUAAAUGGAGCCCAUUUCUAGAUGCUUACGGAAAUUUGUGCUUUUGUCAUGUAAGGCAUUCACAAUGGUCAACCAGAAUUGAAGUCAUAAGAAUAGUUUUUAACAAGCGUGUUUGAACCCUAAUUCUAUAGUUUUCAAAAUAAACUCUCCAACUAGUAUACUACUAUGAUAAUUGUCGACCCAAACCAAAAUGUGGAUAAUAAACGAUUACAGGCGAAAUAUGGUCAAAAUCAAAACUCGUACGCAAUUUACCGAUCAGAGUGGUAACUAAAUAAAUUAAACAUUUCUAAUCAAAUUAGAAAUGAUUUCAAAUGCAAUAGUUGGUUACCAUAACGUGGGAAUUAAAGAACGCGGUUGAUACUACCAUUAUGACCAUAUUAGUUCUAUAUUAUUUAUAUAAGUAUGUACACUACCUAAUGUAUGUAUGUGAGCACUGAGCAGCAUGUGGAUGUAAGUCAUGUACCAUGCUGCAAGAAAACUCUUCCAUGGACCUGAAGUUAAUCACUUCCACCACGUCUCAAUAACUCUAACCACAUGUUUCCAUUAUUCUAAAUAAUCUUUUAGGGUUAUUAGAGCAUCUCUAAUGUAUGUCUCUAUAUUUUCCUCUAAAAUAGAGAUCUCUAUUAUAGAGGUGGAUUUGCUCCAAUGUAUGCCUCUAUAAUAGAGUUCCUCUAUUUUAGAGGAAAAUAUAGAGAAAUCAUAUUUUUUACCUCUAUAUUUAGAGAUGAAAAUAGCAAAUCUCUAUAUUUUCCCCUAUAAAUAGAGGAACUCUAUUAUAGAGGCAUACAUUGGAGCAAAUCCACCUCUAUAAUAGAGUUUCUCUAUUUUAGAGUCACCUAGUGAAUUUUUUUUUUUAAGUCAUAGAGCGCAAUUUCCCUUAAUCAAACUACGUUCUUAUCUUUCUUGGUCUGACAAAAUAACCAUACUAGUUUAAUUAGGACAUUACAUGAAUAUCACUCCAAAAUUAAUACAUCCCACUCGGUAGUUAACAUGAAGAGAACAAAGAAAAUAAAUAAUUUCUCAUAUAUUCAUGGCUUCUAAAAUUAAAUUAUAAACCUUUGAAACUCAUGCGAAACCGAUAUACAACAAAAAUAUUGCGAUAACAAUU